rnacentral:rRNA from 1 species
GAGUUUGAUCGUGGCUCAGGACGAACGCUGGCGGCGUGCCUAACACAUGCAAGUCGAACGGAACUUACCGAAUGAAGUCUUCGGAUGGAUUUUGAUAAGUUUAGUGGCGGACGGGUGAGUAACGCGUGAGUAACCUGCCUUCAAGAGGGGAAUAACGUUCUGAAAAGAACGCUAAUACCGCAUAACAUACGGAUGUCGCAUGGCAACCGUAUCAAAGAUUUUACGCUUGAAGAUGGACUCGCGUCCGAUUAGCCAGUUGCGGGUACGCCACAAAGCGACGAUCAGUAGCCGGACUGAGAGGUUGGCCGGCCACAUUGGGACUGAGACACGGCCCAGACUCCUACGGGAGGCAGCAGUGGGGAA